rnacentral:rRNA from 1 species
GAUGAACGCUGGCGGCGUGCCUAAUACAUGCAAGUAGAACGCUGAAGGAGGAGCUUGCUCUUCUGGAUGAGUUGCGAACGGGUGAGUAACGCGUAGGUAACCUGCCUGGUAGCGGGGGAUAACUAUUGGAAACGAUAGCUAAUACCGCAUGACAACAGUUAUUGCAUGAUAACUGUUUAAAAGGGGCAACUGCUCCACUACCAGAUGGACCUGCGUUGUAUUAGCUAGUUGGUGAGGUAACGGCUCACCAAGGCGACGAUACAUAGCCGACCUGAGAGGGUGAUCGGCCACACUGGGACUGAGACACGGCCCAGACUCCUACGGGAGGCAGCAGUAGGGAAUCUUCGGCAAUGGACGGAAGUCUGACCGAGCAACGCCGCGUGAGUGAAGAAGGGUUUCGGAUCGUAAAGCUAUGUUGUAAGAGAAGAACGAGUGUGAGAGUGGAAAGUUCACACUGUGACGGUAUCUUACCAGAAAGGGACGGCUAACUACGUG